rnacentral:lncRNA from 1 species
UUCAAAUACCACCCUUGUAGUUUCACAUUUUUUUAUUUUGGUACUCCAUAGUUUAAAGUGUAUCACUUUCGUAUCCUGUAAUUUUAUUUUUCUUUUUUUGUUAUUUUCUCUACUAAUUUUUUUAUUAAAUCAGUGACAAUAUUAAAACUAAAGGGUAUUAAAAUGAAUAUUCGAUAAACUAUAGGUGGGAUAUCUAAAGUUUUUUGUCUGUGAUUUAACGAAAAGUUAACGAAAUACUGACAAAAAGAGAAAAAUGAAACAAUAUGGUAUUAAAUUGAUACGCUUUAAACUAUAUGGUAGUAAAAUGAAAAAGUGCGAAACUAUAAGGGUGAUAUUUGAAAUUUACCCCGAAAAAAAUGAAAAGG